rnacentral:rRNA from 1 species
AUUGAACGCUGGCGGCAGGCCUAACACAUGCAAGUCGAGCGGAUGAAGGGAGCUUGCUCCUGGAUUCAGCGGCGGACGGGUGAGUAAUGCCUAGGAAUCUGCCUGGUAGUGGGGGAUAACGUCCGGAAACGGGCGCUAAUACCGCAUACGUCCUGAGGGAGAAAGUGGGGGAUCUUCGGACCUCACGCUCUCAGAUGAGCCUAGGUCGGAUUAGCUAGUUGGUGGGGUAAAGGCCUACCAAGGCGACGAUCCGUAGCUGGUCUGAGAGGAUGAUCAGUCACACUGGAACUGAGACACGGUCCUGACUCCUACGGGAGGCAGCAGUGGGGAAUAUUGGACAAUGGGCGAAAGCCUGAUCCAGCCAUGCCGCGUGUGUGAAGAAGGUCUUCGGAUUGUAAAGCACUUUAAGUUGGGAGGAAGGGCAGUAAGUUAAUACCUUGCUGUUUUGACGUUACCAACAGAAUAAGCACCGGCUAACCUCGUG